rnacentral:rRNA from 1 species
CUUAAAAUGAUCAUGGCUCAGGAUUCCGCGAGUAAGUGCUAUGCAUGCAAGUCGAACGGGAGUGGGUUAAUUCGGUUGACCCCGAGAGUAGGCGAACGGGUGCGUAACACGUAGAUAGACCUACCCUGGAGAGGGGGACAACCACGGGAAACUGUGGUAAAUACCCCCNGUGGAUGACUUGGCAAGUGAUUAGAAAGCCUNCUUGUGGUCUAAAANGUGGCUUCCGGGCUGCUCUGNGGNAGUGGGGGUCUUGCUGUGCCCAUCAGCUAGUUUGUGUNAUGUGGUAAAAGUGGCCUAA